AAUGAACGUUGGCGGCAUGGAUUAGGCAUGCAAGUCGAGCGAGAAGAGUUUUGAAGCUUGCUUUAGAACUCGGACAGCGGCGAAAGGGAGAGUAACGCGUAGUUAUGUGCCCUAGGGUCCGGAAUAGCCACGGGAAACUGUGGGUAAUGCCGGAUAACAUCCCCGGAUCAAAGGUGUGAUUCCGCCCUAGGAGCAGACUGCGUCCUACUAGCUAGUUGGUGGGGGAAUGGCCCACCAAGGCAAUGAUGGGUAGCGGGUGUGCGAGCAUGACCCGUCUCACUGGGACUGAGACACUGCCCAGACACCUACGGGUGGCUGCAGUCGAGAAUCUUCGGCAAUGGGCGAAAGCCCGACCGAGCGAUGCCGCGUGCGGGAUGAAGGCCCUCGGGUUGUAAACCGCUGUCGUAGGGGAGGAAGGUUCCGUGAAGAGCGGAAUUUGACCUAUCCUAGGAGGAAGUACGGGCUAAGUUCGUGC
rnacentral:rRNA from 1 species